AUGGGGAUGAGGCAAAGCCGGAUCCGGGCGUGUCCCAGGCUGGGCGCUCCGGAAGUCCGGGCGGCCGUGACCCUGCUGGAGUCCGGGGGGGACCUCCAGCCCCCCGGGGGGUCCCUGCGCCUCCUCUGCCGUGGGGAUGGAUUCGACAUCGGGAAAUUUGUGAUGUUCUGGAUCCGCCAAAAACCUGGGAAGGCGCUGGAAUUCAUUGCGAGCAUCACCAGUGGUGGCAGCACCAAAUACGCGCCGUCGGUUCAGGGCCGGUUCACCAUCAGCAGGGACAACGGGCAGAGCUCGGUGACGCUGAGCAUGAACAACCUCCAGGACGAGGAUUCCGGGGUUUAUUUCUGUGCCAAAUCUUUUGGUGAUAGUUGGGGUGCUGCUGCUGAUGGUGACAAACCGUGCCCCCAUCGCUGUGUCCCCAGUCCCCAAGAUUUUACCCCAAUCCCCAGGAUUUUACCCCAAACCCCAGGGUUUUGCCCCAAACCCCAGGAUUUCCCCCCAAAGCUCAGCCCUGACCCCGCUCCUGACCCUUUGUCCCCGAGUGUCCCAGCGCUGAGCGCUGAGCCCAAAUCCCCGCCCGGGGCCCCCUGA